rnacentral:tRNA from 1 species
AUUCAAAUAGCUUAUUUAGAGCAUAAUAUUGAAGAUAUUAAGGUAAUAAAAUUUAUUUUUGAAUA